CGUAGGGCGCAAGCGUUAUCCGGAAUUAUUGGGCGUAAAGAGCUCGUAGGCGGUUUGUCGCGUCUGCCGUGAAAGUCCGGGGCUCAACUCCGGAUCUGCGGUGGGUACGGGCAGACUAGAGUGUGGUAGGGGAGAUCGGAAUUCCUGGUGUAGCGGUGGAAUGCGCAGAUAUCAGGAGGAACCCCGGUGGCGAAGGCGGAUCUCUGGGCCAUAACUGACGCUGAGGAGCGAAAGCAUGGGAGCGAACAGG
rnacentral:rRNA from 1 species